GUAUUUUUGUGUUUGUGUGUUGCUGUAUGUAUUAUGUAUUUGCUUGCUUUCAUACAAUUCUUGCACUUUGAUUGGAACAUAUUAAAAUAUUUUUUUAUUUGAAAUGAUGAACAUUUAUGUCAUGCACCAAUCUGAAAGGUUUUGCUGAACAAUCACCUACCGGUAUAUCUGAUGCCAACACACCACCCCGAUAUCCAUAAUAUGUACUCAACAAAAUUUACAAAUUCAGUUUUCAUUUCAGGCAUCUGGGUCUGUAGAUCAACUGCAUUGAGAUCACAGUUCCUAUCUUGAAAUACGUCAAUUCACUCAGCUUGCCGUCAACUAGGCAUCAAGUUCUUAAUAUAAAAGAUUACAGCUCAGAGGAGCGAAAACCGCAAAAAAAAUUGUAAAUGUUUAAUUAUGCAAAGUAUUUUUAACAAUAAAUUAUUUAAGUUGUA